rnacentral:rRNA from 1 species
UACAGAGGGUGCGAGCGUUAAUCGGAUUUACUGGGCGUAAAGGGCGCGUAGGCGGUGAUGUGAGUGUGAUGUGAAAGCCCCGGGCUUAACCUGGGAAGUGCAUCGCAAACGACAUGACUGGAGUAUAUGAGAGGGUGGCGGAAUUUCCGGUGUAGCGGUGAAAUGCGUAGAGAUCGGAAGGAACGUCAAUGGCGAAGGCAGCCACCUGGCAUAAUACUGACGCUGAGGCGCGAAAGCGUGGGGAGCGAACAGG